GCCUAACACAUGCAAGUCGAACGAGUGCCUUCGGGUGAUAGUGGCGCACGGGUGCGUAACGCGUGGGAAUCUGCCCUGGGGUCUGGGAUAACCGUUGGAAACGACGGCUAAUACCGGAUGAUGAUGAAAAUCCAAAGAUUUAUCGCCCCGGGAUGAGCCCGCGUCGGAUUAGCUAGUUGGUGGGGUAAAGGCCUACCAAGGCGACGAUCCGUAGCUGGUCUGAGAGGAUGAUCAGCCACACUGGGACUGAGACACGGCCCAGACUCCUACGGGAGGCAGCAGUGGGGAAUAUUGGACAAUGGGCGCAAGCCUGAUCCAGCAAUGCCGCGUGAGUGAUGAAGGCCUUAGGGUUGUAAAGCUCUUUUACCCGGGAUGAUAAUGACAGUACCGGGAGAAUAAGCCCCGGCUAACUCCGUGCCAGCAGCCGCGGUAAU
rnacentral:rRNA from 1 species